AGUGAACGCUGGCGGCAGGCCUAACACAUGCAAGUCGAACGAGUGGCGGACGGGUGAGGAAUACAUCGGAAUCUACUCUGUCGUGGGGGAUAACGUAGGGAAACUUACGCUAAUACCGCAUACGAUUGAAUGAGCCGAUGUCGGAUUAGCUAGUUGGCGGGGUAAAGGCCAACCAAGGCGACGAUCGGUAGCUGGUCUGAGAGGAUGAUCAGCCACACUGGAACGGAGACACGGCCCAGACUCCAACGGGAGGCAGCAGUGGGGAAUUUUGGACAAUGGGCGCAAGCCUGAUCCAGCCAUACCGCGUGUGUGAAGAAGGCCUUCGGGUUGUAAAGCCCUUUUGUUGGGAAAGCGGUACCCAAAGAAUAAGCACCGGCUAACUUCGUGCCAGCAGCCGCGGUAAUUC
rnacentral:rRNA from 1 species